CCUACGGGAGUCAGCAGUGGGGAAUCUUGCGCAAUGGGGGCAACCCUGACGCAGCCAUGCCGCGUGAAUGAUGAAGGCCUUAGGGUUGUAAAGUUCUUUUGCCCGUGACGAUGAUGACGGUAACGGGAGAAUAAGCUCCGGCUAACUUCGUGCCAGCAGCCGCGGUAAUACGAAGGGGGCUAGCGUUGUUCGGAAUUACUGGGCGUAAAGCGCGCGCAGGCGGUUCGAUAAGUUAGGGGUGAAAUCCCUGGGCUCAACCCAGGAAUGGCCUUUAAGACUGUCGAGCUAGAGGACGAGAGAGGUGAGUGGAAUUCCCAGUGUAGAGGUGAAAUUCGUAGAUAUUGGGAAGAACACCGGUGGCGAAGGCGGCUCACUGGCUCGUUUCUGACGCUGAGGCGCGAAGGCGUGGGGAGCAAACAGGAUUAGAUACCCUGGUAGUCCACGCCCUAAACGAUGAGUGCCAGGUGUCGGGAAGCUUAGCUUCUCGGCGCCGCAGCUAACGCCUUAAGCACUCCGCCUGGGGAGGUACGGCCGCGACGUAAACGUACGAAGAGAGUAGACGGCGUGAGAGNGCCGAACGGACGACGACGAGGGAGGAGG
rnacentral:rRNA from 1 species